rnacentral:lncRNA from 1 species
AUGCGGGGGCACAGGGCGGGCUGUUUCUUCCAGCAAAGAGCACACUUUCCGGCCCCGGGGCUCCCUGGGGACCCUGGGCAGGGGGGUUCUGCAGAGGCCCCAGCACAGGGACAGCUCACUGUGCAUAUGCUUACUUCGACAGCUGGGGCCAGGGCACCCUGGUCACCGUCUCCUCAGGUGAGUCUGCUAGCCCACGCUGAGCCAAGGCUAGCGUGCUGCUGUGUCUCCACUCGGGAUGGAGGUCAAGUGGGUUUUUGUAUGGGCGACGCAGCUGGACAGAGGCUGUGCUCCUGGGGUAUGGAUUACUGGGGCCAGGGCACCCUGGUCACCGUCUCCUCAGGUGAGUGUCCCCUGCAGCUGCUCUGUGAGCAUCGGGCCAGGUCCCUGGGUCCGGCCGUAGCUCCGAGCCUGGGGUCCAGCCCGGGACCCUGCAGGACAGCAGGGUCCCCACUGGCUCCUGGGCCCCAUGGGGACGAGACUCGGAGCUGGCAGAGCUCCUGGGGGGCAAGCACGCCGAGGGCCAGGCAGACAGGGCAUAGGCGUUGGCCGGGAAGGAGAAGUGUGGGGCCGGGCUUUCUGUGGGGUGGGGCUGGGCACCUGCAUCAGUGUGGCCAUGACUACUUGGAUGUUUGGGGCCAGGGCACCCCGGUCACCGUCUCCUCAGGUAAUUGCACCCCUGCCGGCCUCGCUCGUGCUCUGGGUGGUAUGUCUGGGGGCAGAGGAGCCCGCGGUCUGCUCUGCACACUCAGGUGCCAAGGUGUGGACGCUGUGGGGGCCAGGAGGGUUUGUGUCAGAGCAGAAGCAGGGCUGUGUCUCUGUGCGAUGCUUUUGGUUACUGGGGCCAGGGGACCCUGGUCACCGUGUCCUCAGGUAAGACUGGCCCCUCUGUCCCAUCCCUGGGGCAGAAGUUUCCCGAAACUCCCCGGUCUCUGCGGGGCCGUCUGGGGAGCCCAGCGGGCUGCUUCUGAGGCUGUGAGGUCCUCACCCUGUGAGGCCUCUCUGUGGGGAGCGGGCGCUGCCAGAGCGGGCUCUGUGUCCGGGGCUCGCAGCCCUGAGGACUGA